UCCGCUAUAGCUCAGUGGUAGAGCAAUCGGCUGUUAACCGAUCGGUCGGUGGUUCGAGCCCACCUGGCGGAG
rnacentral:tRNA from 1 species